UGGGGAAUUUUGCACAAUGGGCGCAAGCCUGAUGCAGCGACGCCGCGUGAGGGAUGAAGGCCUUCGGGUUGUAAAAAUCUUUUGUAUGGGAAGAAAAUGACAGUACCAUACGAAUAAGGACCGGCUAAUUACGUGCCAGCAGCCGCGGUAAUACGUAAGGUCCGAGCGUUGUCCGGAAUCAUUGGGCGUAAAGGGUACGUAGGCGGAUAAGCAAGUUAGAAGUGAAAUCCUAUAGCUCAACUAUAGUAAGCUUUUAAAACUGCUCAUCUUGAGGUAUGGAAGGGAAAGUGGAAUUCCUAGUGUAGCGGUGAAAUGCGCAGAUAUUAGGAGGAAUACCGGUGGCGAAGGCGACUUUCUGGCCAUAUACUGACGCUGAGGUACGAAAGCGUGGGUAGCAAACAGG
rnacentral:rRNA from 1 species